AACCUAGCACACCUGCGGUGUGUACCUGCGGAAGGAUCAUUACCGAGUUUACAACUCCCAAACCCCUGUGAACAUACCAAUUGUUGCCUCGGCGGAUCAGCCCGCUCCCGGUAAAACGGGACGGCCCGCCAGAGGACCCCUAAACUCUGUUUCUAUAUGUAACUUCUGAGUAAAACCAUAAAUAAAUCAAAACUUUCAACAAUGGAUCU
rnacentral:misc_RNA from 1 species